AGUGCUUGUUUACACACCCUGGUACAGAGCAGUUGCUUGGCUAAGGGCUGCCCUGUACCAGCCCAUGUUCCCCUGUGUCACUGCCUCAGAAGCCAGCAUCCUUGGUGGCUUCCCUGUAUGGAGGCACUUGACUUAUGUUUCUCCACCAAUUUUUUCUGGGGAGGAUGAAGGGUGGGAAACAUGAAGAUGGAUGAGGGUAGACUCAUUUUCCCUGAAGUAAGAACAAGCUGCCUCUUAUUUGUUAAUUUUUAAUACUUAUUCAUUUAUUUGGCUCUACUGAGUCUUAGUGGCAGCAUUCGGGAUUUUUAGUUGCAGCAUGUGGGAUCUAGUUCCCUGACCAGGGACUGAACCCAGGCUCCCUGCAUUGGGAGCCUAGAGUCUUAGCCACUGGCCACCAGGCAAGUUCUGCUUUUUAUUUUUAAUUAGUUGUUCUUUGGCCUGGCUUCUGGGGCAAAAUAUGCUAUUCGUCCAUCAUGUUCUGAGUCACCAUUGAUUUUCUGGAUCAUUUCAGAUGCGAAAGGCAACUUGAGAAUAUUUACACCUUGGCACCUUCUAUCACGGAGCUUCCCUGGUGAGUCAGCAGUAAAGAAUCUGCCUCUAAUGCAGUAGACCUGGGUUUGAUCCCUCAGAUGGGAAGAUCCCCUGGAGAAGGAAAUGACAACCCAUUCCAGCAUUCUUGCCUGGGACAUCCCAUGGACAGAGGAGCCUGGAAUACUGGAAUGGGGGAGACAGUGAUGUGUGUAUUCUGAAGAAGUUUCUCAAGUAAUUCUGAUGCCCUCCUCCAUCUGCAUUUCUCACCCCAGGAUCACCCCAAAGGAGAUCCUGCAUCUUCUUGUGUCUUUUGUACUUCUGUCCAAAUUCUUCCCUAUAUUCUGACUAUAUUCAGUCUCUGCCUUUGCUGGUGUUGUUCCAGAAUGUUCUUUUCCAUAUCAACCUUCUGUCACACCCCAGAUCCUCCUGCUCACACCUAACAUCCCCAAAUAUUCUCUUCUUUGCUCUGUCCCCAAAUCUUCUUUCCUUCUCAACCCAUGGUUAAAAUAAAAUUCACACCCCUCUUGGCCACCCCAUUAACUUCCACUUGGGGACAGAAA